CGGGCGGGAAGCCGGUCCCCCCCUGACCGGGUCUCCGAUCGCGGAUCUUCCUUCCGGGCCUGCCUCGGGCUCCUUCCCCGGGGCCGUGCCCCGAGCCCACGUCCUUCGCCCUCAUGAAGCCGAGGAGGGUCAUUAGGCAGCUCCUUGAUUACGGGGCUUGGGGAGGGCUGUAGCGAUUACCUGGGGACCGGAGCGCAGAUGAAAGGGACUCAGGCGGCUGUGGAGCGUUCCCCCCUGCAAACCUCGGGUUCCGACCCCCCUUCCUCGGGACGCCCAUAAUCCACUCUGGGCUAAAGGCGGGCGAUUCUUCUCCGCACCAGGAAACACGGUGUUUAAAUGUGGGAACCACAGCUUAGAGGGAACAGAGCCCGGCCUGACUCACUGGCUUCCCACACGAGGAAACUCGGCCCGGGAGGGCAGAGAAUCCUGGCGAGAUCCGAGCCCCGAAUCAGCGCUCGGACAACGAAGCUGGACGGCCGUCCUCUGAGUCACCGGCUCACAAGCUGCUUGUCAUCUGGGACUUCCUGGCCGAUCGCUGCCAAGGGCUGUUAUCUCUACCUCCUCUCUGCUCCCUCCUCUUCUCUGCUCCUGCUCCUCCCUGGUGCAGACCCUCAUGACCUCACACCUGGACCUCAGCAGUAGCUGCCGAGGGUGGUCUGCCUGCCCCAGGUCGCUCCCCAUUUGGCCAACAGAACUUUUUUGUAAAGCUCAGUAUGCUCAUGUUACCCCCCUGCUCAAUAAAGUCCUGUGGCUCCCUGUCACCUUCAGAGGCAAAUACAACAUCCUCUGUUUGACUUUAAAGCCUUCCAUGAUCUGGCCUCCUCCUGCCUUUCUCAUGUUCUUACACCUUUCUUCCCCCCCCCCCCCACCUGUGACUCAGUGACCCCGGACUCCUGGCUGUCCCUCUCACAAGACAUUGC
rnacentral:lncRNA from 1 species